rnacentral:lncRNA from 1 species
UAAGCAUCCUCAUCUCCGCAACCUUCAUUCUCUGAACAUGCGAGUUCUUCACGGGCCAGCACUCCGCCCCAUACAACAUCGCAGGUCUAACCACGGCCCUGUAGAAUUUUCCCUUGAGUUUGUGUGGAAUUUUCUUGUCACACAGGACCCCUGAAGCGAGCCUCCACUUUGACCACCCCGCUCAUAUCUGAUGGGUGACGUCCCCGUCAAUCUCUCCGUCCCCCUGAAUCACAGACCCAAGAUAUCUUACACUGUCCCUCUAGGCGAUGGCCUGAGAACCAAGCAUCACUUCCCUGCCUACCCCACUCGGCUC